GACGAACGCUGGCGGCGUGCUUAACACAUGCAAGUCGAACGGAGCGAAUGAAAGCUUGCUUUUAUGAGCUUAGUGGCAAACGGGUGAGUAACACGUAGACAACCUGCCGACAGGAUGGGGACAACAUUCCGAAAGGAAUGCUAAUACCGAAUGAAGCGGAGGAGAGGCAUCUCUCCUGCGUGAAAGAUGGCCUCUUUUUAUGCUAUCACCUGUUGAUGGGUCUGCGUCUGAUUAGCUGGUAGGUGAGGUAACGGCUCACCUAGGCGACGAUCAGUAGCCGGUCUGAGAGGAUGAACGGCCACAUUGGGACUGAGACACGGCCCAGACUCCUACGGGAGGCAGCAGUGGGGAAUCUUCCGCAAUGGGCGCAAGCCUGACAGAGCAACGCCGCGUGAGUGAAGAAGGUCUUCGGAUCGUAAAGCUCUGUUGACGGGGACGAAACGUGCGUGAUG
rnacentral:rRNA from 1 species